GAUAACCUGCCCUAAGGAAGGGGAUACCCCCGGGAAACUGGGGAUAAUACCCUAUAGGUUACAGAUGCUGGAAUGCUCUGUACCCGAAAGUUCCGGCGCCUUAGGAUGGAUCUGCGGCCGAUUAGGUUGUUGUCGGGGUAACGGCCCAACGAGCCAGUAAUCGGUACGGGUUGUGGGAGCAAGAGCCCGGAGUUGGAUUCUGAGACACGAAUCCAGGCCCUACGGGGCGCAGCAGGCGCGAAAACUUUACAAUGCGGGCAACCGUGAUAAGGGAACCUCGAGUGCCUGUAUAUGCAGGCUGUCUGGGUGUCUAAAACACACCUAAAGAAAGGGCCGGGCAAGACCGGUGCCAGCCGCCGCGGUAAUACCGGCGGCUCGAGUGGUGGCCACUUUUAUUGGGCUUAAAGCGUUCGUAGCUGGGUUAUUAAGUCCCUUGGGAAAUCCGACGGCUUAACCGUCGGGCGUCUAAGGGAUACUGGCAAUCUUGGAACCGGGAGAGGUGAGGGGUACUUCGGGGGUAGGAGUGAAAUCCUGUAAUCCUCGAGGGACCACCUGUGGCGAAGGCGCCUCACCA
rnacentral:rRNA from 1 species